rnacentral:rRNA from 1 species
UAGGGAAUCUUCCGCAAUUGACGCAAGUCUGACGGAGCAACGCCGCGUGAGUGAAGAAGGAUUUCGGUUCGUAAAACUCUGUUGUUAGAGAAGAACAGCGCAUAGAGUAACUGUUAUGCGUGUGACGGUAUCUAACCAGAAAGCCACGGCUAACUACGUGCCAGCAGCCGCGGUAAUACGUAGGUGGCAAGCGUUGUCCGGAUUUAUUGGGCGUAAAGCGAGCGCAGGCGGUCAAUUAAGUCUGAUGUGAAAGCCCCCGGCUCAACCGGGGAGGGUCAUUGGAAACUGGUUGACUUGAGUGCAGAAGAGGAGAGUGGAAUUCCAUGUGUAGCGGUGAAAUGCGUAGAUAUAUGGAGGAACACCAGUGGCGAAGGCGACUCUCUGGUCUGUAACUGACGCUGAGGCUCGAAAGCGUGGGUAGCAAACAGG